CCAGACUCCUACGGGAGGCAGCAGUGGGGGAUAUUGCACAAUGGGGGAAACCCUGAUGCAGCGACGCCGCGUGGGUGAAGAAGCGCCUCGGCGCGUAAAGCCCUGUCAGCAGGGAAGAAAAUGACGGUAGCUAAGGAGCAAGCCACGGCUAACUACGUGCCAGCAGCCGCGGUAAUACGUAGGUGGCAAGCGUUGUCCGGAAUUACUGGGUGUAAAGGGAGCGCAGGCGGGAAGCCAAGUCAGCUGUGAAAACUACGGGCUUAACUUGUAGACUGCAGUUGAAACUGGUUUUCUUGAGUGAAGUAGAGGUUGGCGGAAUUCCGAGUGUAGCGGUGAAAUGCGUAGAUAUUCGGAGGAACACCGGUGGCGAAGGCGGCCAACUGGGCUUUAACUGACGCUGAGGCUCGAAAGCGUGGGUAGCAAACAGGAUUAGAUACCCCAGUA
rnacentral:rRNA from 1 species